rnacentral:rRNA from 1 species
UGCUUGGUGGAUCAGUGGCGAACGGGUGAGUAACACGUGAGCAACCUGCCCUGGACUCUGGGAUAAGCGCUGGAAACGGCGUCUAAUACUGGAUAUGAGACGUGAUCGCAUGGUCGUGUUUGGAAAGAUUUUUCGGUCUGGGAUGGGCUCGCGGCCUAUCAGCUUGUUGGUGAGGUAAUGGCUCACCAAGGCGUCGACGGGUAGCCGGCCUGAGAGGGUGACCGGCCACACUGGGACUGAGACACGGCCCAGACUCCUACGGGAGGCAGCAGUGGGGAAUAUUGCACAAUGGGCGGAAGCCUGAUGCAGCAACGCCGCGUGAGGGAUGACGGCCUUCGGGUUGUAAACCUCUUUUAGCAGGGAAGAAGCGAAAGUGACGGUACCUGCAGAAAAAGCGCCGGCUAACUACGUGCCAGCAGCCGCGGUAAUACGUAGGGCGCAAGCGUUAUCCGGAAUUAUUGGGCGUAAAGAGCUCGUAGGCGGUUUGUCGCGUCUGCUGUGAAAUCCCGAGGCUCAACCUCGGGCCUGCAGUGGGUACGGGCAGACUAGAGUGCGGUAGGGGAGAUUGGAAUUCCUGGUGUAGCGGUGGAAUGCGCAGAUAUCAGGAGGAACACCGAUGGCGAAGGCAGAUCUCUGGGCCGUAACUGACGCUGAGGAGCGAAAGGGUGGGGAGCAAACAGGCUUAGAUACCCUGGUAGUCCACCCCGUAAACGUUGGGAACUAGUUGUGGGGACCAUUCCACGGUUUCCGUGACGCAGCUAACGCAUUAAGUUCCCCGCCUGGGGAGUACGGCCGCAAGGCUAAAACUCAAAGGAAUUGACGGGGACCCGCACAAGCGGCGGAGCAUGCGGAUUAAUUCGAUGCAACGCGAAGAACCUUACCAAGGCUUGACAUAUACGAGAACGGGCCAGAAAUGGUCAACUCUUUGGACACUCGUAAACAGGUGGUGCAUGGUUGUCGUCAGCUCGUGUCGUGAGAUGUUGGGUUAAGUCCCGCAACGAGCGCAACCCUNCGUUCUAUGUUGCCAGCACGUAAUGGUGGGAACUCAUGGGAUACUGCCGGGGUCAACUCGGAGGAAGGUGGGGAUGACGUCAAAUCAUCAUGCCCCUUAUGUCUUGGGCUUCACGCAUGCUACAAUGGCCGGUACAAAGGGCUGCAAUACCGUGAGGUGGAGCGAAUCCCAAAAAGCCGGUCCCAGUUCGGAUUGAGGUCUGCAACUCGACCUCAUGAAGUCGGAGUCGCUAGUAAUCGCAGAUCAGCAACGCUGCGGUGAAUACGUUCCCGGGUCUUGUACACACCGCCCGUCAAGUCAUGAAAGUCGGUAACACCUGAAGCCG